rnacentral:tRNA from 1 species
UCCGCGGUAGCUCAGUGGUAGAGCGGCCCGCUGUUAACGGGUUGGUCGUAGGUUCGAAUCCUACCCGCGGAGCCA